GGUGGACAAUGGCGGAAGGGUGAGUAACGCGUGGGUAACCUGCCCCCGAAUUGGGGAUAACUCCGCGAAAGCGGUGCUAAUACCGAAUACGGUCUCCCGGGGCAUCUCGGGAUGAUCAAAGGCGGGGAUCCUUCGGGACCUGCCGCUUAGGGAGGAGCCCGCGUCCCAUCAGCUUGUUGGUGAGGUAACUGCUCACCAAGGCUUACGGGUAGCUGGUCUGAGAGGAUGGUCAGCCACACUGGGACUGAGACACUGCCCAGACUCCUACGGGAGGCUGCAGUCGAGGAUCAUUCGCAAUGCGCGAAAGCGUGACGAUGCGACGCUGCGUGGAGGAUGAAGGCCUUAGGGUCGUAAACUCCUGUCAUUCGGGAAAAAUGGCCCCGGGGUUAAUACCCUCAGGGUUUGAUGGUACCGAAAGAGGAAGCCACGGCUAACUCUGUGCCAGCAGCCGCGGUAAUACAGAGGUGGCGAGCGUUGUUCGGAUUUACUGGGCGUAAAGGGUGCGUAGGUGGUCUUGUGUGUCGGGUGUGAAAUCCCACGGCUCAACCGUGGAAUGGCAUUCGAAACUGCAAGACUUGAGUGCAGGAGGGGAGAGCGGAAUUCUUGGUGUAGCGGGGAAAUGUGUUGAUAUCAAGAAGAACACCGGUGGCGAAGGCGGCUCUCUGGAAUGUUACUGACACUGAGGCACGAAAGUUGGGGUAGCGAACAGGAUUAGAUACCCUGGUAGUCCCAACCGUAAACGGUGUACACUUGGCGUGGGAGGUAUUGACCCCUUCCGUGCCGGAGCUAACGCGUUAAGUGUACCGCCUGGGGAGUACGGCCGCAAGGCUAAAACUCAAAGAAAUUGACGGGGGCCCGCACAAGCGGAGGAGCAUGUGGCUUAAUUCGAUGCAACGCGAAGAACCUUACCUGGGCUUGACAUGGUGCUGCACGCCCACCGAAAGGUGGGAAGCCUUCGAGGGUGCACCACAGGUGCUGCAUGGCUGUCGUCAGUUCGUGCCGUGAGGUGUCGGGUUAAGUCCCGCAACGAACGCAACCCCUGUGUUUAGUUGCCAGCGGUUAAAGUAAAUCUGCGAGCACUCUAGACAGACUGCCUGUAUACGCAGGAGGAAGGUGGGGAUGACGUCAAGUCCGUAUGGCCCUUACGCCCUGGGCUGCACACGUGCUACAAUGGUCGGUACAAUUGGACGCAAUACCGCAAGGUGGAGCAAAUCCCUAAAACCGGCCCCAGUUCGGAUUGGAGUCUGCAACUCGACUCCAUGAAGUUGGAUUCGCUAGUAACGGCGCAUCAGCUACGGCGCCGUGAAUACGUUCCCGGGCCUUGUACACACCGCCCGUCACAUCAUGAAAGCCGUCUGCACCCGAAGUCGCUGAUGC
rnacentral:rRNA from 1 species